UAUUAAUUGAAAUAACUAUGAAAGUGCAGUGGGAUGGCUUCUGACACCUCUAAAAAGAAAGGGUUAGAAAGGCAUUGACUUCAUCCUAAACCACUUCAAGCCCUGCUAAGAUGUGAUCUUUCCUUUUCUUUCUCUUUUUUGUAGGUACUUGGUCUUUAAUCUGGUUGAAUGAUCUGGAGUGUCUCCUUUUGAGAGCAAUGUGAACAAAUUCCUUGUACAGAACCAUGAUCACGAAUAUCCGGGAGCAAUUUUGAAGCAUGGCAUUACUAUUUUUAUCAGUUCUCUCCAUCCCAGCUGUUGCUUCAUGUUAACAUGCAGAAAGGUGUGAAAAUCCCAGCAGAGGCGCGUGAAUCCCAGAGAGACCUGUAUUCUGUCAUUCUAACCCUUGAAUUAGAAGAAGCCUCUCUCCCUAUCUCUGGAUAGAAGUUCCUCUAUUCCUGAUUCUCCCAACUGUGUGCUCUACCUAGAUUCCUGUGAUCGUGUCAUUGAAUAAAAGGAUUGAAGGGAAGUGGUUGGAACUGUAA
rnacentral:lncRNA from 1 species